rnacentral:misc_RNA from 1 species
UACGAAGGGGGCUAGCGUUGUUCGGAAUUACUGGGCGUAAAGCGCACGUAGGCGGAUCGUUAAGUGAGGGGUGAAAUCCCGGGGCUCAACCCCGGAACGGCCUUUCAUACUGGCGAUCUGGAGUUCGAGAGAGGUGAGUGGAAUUCCGAGUGUAGAGGUGAAAUUCGUAGAUAUUCGGAGGAACACCAGUGGCGAAGGCGGCUCACUGGCUCGAAACUGACGCUGAGGUGCGAAAGCGUGGGGAGCAAACAGG